GACGAACGCUGGCGGCGUGCUUAACACAUGCAAGUCGAACGGAAAGGCCCUGCUUUUGUGGGGUGCUCGAGUGGCGAACGGGUGAGUAACACGUGAGUAACCUGCCCUUGACUUUGGGAUAACUUCAGGAAACUGGGGCUAAUACCGGAUAGGACCUCCUGCUGCAUGGUGGGGGUUGGAAAGUUUCGGCGGUUGGGGAUGGACUCGCGGCUUAUCAGCUUGUUGGUGGGGUAGUGGCUUACCAAGGCUUUGACGGGUAGCCGGCCUGAGAGGGUGACCGGCCACAUUGGGACUGAGAUACGGCCCAGACUCCUACGGGAGGCAGCAGUGGGGAAUAUUGCACAAUGGGCGGAAGCCUGAUGCAGCAACGCCGCGUGCGGGAUGACGGCCUUCGGGUUGUAAACCGCUUUCGCCUGUGACGAAGCGUGAGUGACGGUAAUGGGUAAAGAAGCACCGGCUAACUACGUGCCAGCAGCCGCGGUGAUACGUAGGGUGCGAGCGUUGUCCGGAUUUAUUGGGCGUAAAGGGCUCGUAGGUGGUUGAUCGCGUCGGAAGUGUAAUCUUGGGGCUUAACCCUGAGCGUGCUUUCGAUACGGGUUGACUUGAGGAAGGUAGGGGAGAAUGGAAUUCCUGGUGGAGCGGUGGAAUGCGCAGAUAUCAGGAGGAACACCAGUGGCGAAGGCGGUUCUCUGGGCCUUUCCUGACGCUGAGGAGCGAAAGCGUGGGGAGCGAACAGGCUUAGAUACCCUGGUAGUCCACGCUGUAAACGGUGGGUACUAGGUGUGGGGUCCAUUCCACGGGUUCCGUGCCGUAGCUAACGCUUUAAGUACCCCGCCUGGGGAGUACGGCCGCAAGGCUAAAACUCAAAGGAAUUGACGGGGCCCCGCACAAGCGGCGGAGCAUGCGGAUUAAUUCGAUGCAACGCGUAGAACCUUACCUGGGUUUGACAUGGAUCGGGAGCGCUCAGAGAUGGGUGUGCCUCUUUUGGGGUCGGUUCACAGGUGGUGCAUGGCUGUCGUCAGCUCGUGUCGUGAGAUGUUGGGUUAAGUCCCGCAACGAGCGCAACCCUUGUUCACUGUUGCCAGCACGUUAUGGUGGGGACUCAGUGGAGACCGCCGGGGUCAACUCGGAGGAAGGUGGGGAUGACGUCAAGUCAUCAUGCCCCUUAUGUCCAGGGCUUCACGCAUGCUACAAUGGCUGGUACAGAGAGUGGCGAGCCUGUGAGGGUGAGCGAAUCUCGGAAAGCCGGUCUCAGUUCGGAUUGGGGUCUGCAACUCGACCUCAUGAAGUCGGAGUCGCUAGUAAUCGCAGAUCAGCAACGCUGCGGUGAAUACGUUCCCGGGGCU
rnacentral:rRNA from 1 species